UACGAAGGGGGCUAGCGUUGCUCGGAAUCACUGGGCGUAAAGGGUGCGUAGGCGGGUCUUUAAGUCAGGGGGGAAAUCCUGGAGCUCAACUCCAGAACUGCCUUUGAUACUGAGGAUCUUGAGUCCGGGAGAGGUGAGUGGAACUGCGAGUGUAGAGGUGAAAUUCGUAGAUAUUCGCAAGAACACCAGUGGCGAAGGCGGCUCACUGGCCCGGUACUGACGCUGAGGCACGAACGCGUGGGGAGCAAACAGG
rnacentral:rRNA from 1 species